rnacentral:rRNA from 1 species
AUAAAAACUUUCAACAACGGAUCUCUUGGUUCUGGCAUCGAUGAAGAACGCAGCGAAAUGCGAUAAGUAAUGUGAAUUGCAGAAUUCAGUGAAUCAUCGAAUCUUUGAACGCACAUUGCGCCCGCCAGUAUUCUGGCGGGCAUGCCUGUCUGAGCGUCAUUUCAACCCU